UUUGCUGCCCCAGGUGCUAGAUCAGUGGUUUGAGUCGGAGCCUCUAAAAGCCACUCUUGCGACGGAUGCUGUGAUUGGAGCUAUGACCA
ensembl:miRNA MIR1287 microRNA 1287